UGUUUUAUGUACAAUAUCUUACUUAGGACAGUACUAAAAAAAUAAAAAUAACAUGCAUUUAGUAUGAUCUCUCUUAUUUUUUGAAAAUUAUUCACAUUUUCACAGAUUCUGCAAGGGGUUCCAAAACUUUUGCAUGCCACUGUAUUGUCCAAAGCCUAUUUGAAGUGAGUGGGUUACCAUCAGGUUUAGGUUUCCUGAACAAUGAAAGCUAAGACACCGUUUAAGUUAACUUUAGACCUUUUGUCCAAUACAGUUAACCACAUUAGAAAGCGACCGUAUCUUUCCAAAUUGUCGCAAGUAUAGUACAGUGUAGGAAUGUUCAGCGAAUGUGCCAUGUUAAAGAGCUUAUGGUUAGGUGAUUCAUCACUUCUAUCUCUUAUCACCAAUCAUUGGAUUCAUAGUCUUAAUUCAUAAUCUUGUUGAUUGAGCUUAAUUGAUUCAAUGAUUUCAAUCUUUGAGUGGGAAUAUCAGUUGCUUCCAUUGAUGUUAACUCACCAUAUUUUUCUCUUUUUACAGUGGUUGGAUUGCCACAGUGAUGUUUUUCGGCACAAAUGUAGUCUCGGCUAUAUUCAUGCUCAUCUGUACUCUGCUCUUUACCAUAGAUACAGUUCUAAUGGUGUUCAUUCUUAUCAAGGUUCAUCGACUGUAUCGCGGUGGAGGAGGCAGUUUUCAGCAGGCUCAGGAAGAAUGGAGCACUGGGGUGUGGAAAAGCGCCCCUGUGAGGCAAGCUGGAUUCAAUGCCAUCUCUGAAACCGGCCCCAGCCUGCCCCAGUAUCCAGCCGCAGUGCCCAGUUACCCAGAGAGCGGGCCCUGGUGAUACCUCUUCUGAUCUACAGAUGGGGCCAGAGCACUACUUACUGCUUGUCUUAACAUUAAAGGGCACAUUGAAGUGGGACCCCAAGAAAACACUUCGGCCAGAUCACAAACUUGUGAAUAUUUCCAUUGUUUUUGAACAAUGUAGCAAAAAGAUCUUAUGUUAAAUCACUCCUUAAAGAAUGAGCAUAAACCUAAUUAUUUUUUUUUUUUUUUUGCCUUAAAAUAAUCAAUUUUAUGUGAAUGACGAUCUAAAAUGUGUCAAACCACUUUCCUGGGUGCAAAUUCUGCUAAAACGCUAAUAACCAAGCCAAAUCAGCAAACUGCUCCUUUAAAAACUCUCUCAACACAUACUACUCUCAAACAGAUGGCAAAAUGGUGGACCGUAAACAGCAAAAAAAUUACGCUUUACAUUUACGAAUUCAUCUCAAUUCAUCUUAGCCUUGAUUUUUCUUAGCAUUGUUUGAGAAAGAAAUCAAAAUAUUUGCAUAUCAAAUCACUGAACUGUGUAGAAUACAAAUGCAGAUUGCAUCACGUACAAUCACAUUAGUGUUUCAGGGAAAGUGAAUUUUAAAAGAGUAAAAAGCAUGUCAGAAUUUCUUUUCUCAAACAUGGCAGCUUUUCUAUUUACUUCAUGAAAUUAGCUCUCACAUUUCCACAUCAAUUCACUUCAAACUUUGGUUAAUUAUUCCCUCACUUUUAAGACUCACAAGCAUGUCUUUGUAAAUAGUAUGAUUUGCAUGACACCUUUUGUAUAUUGCUACUAAGCAUUGCAGAUUUUAUAAGAUCUAUGACAGAGAAUGUUUCUUGCAAACAUAUUGUGCCUGCUUUCUUUUCUGUUCAAAGCUUUCCACAUCUUCUAAAUGAAGACCGCCUUAAUUGUUCAUGCAAAUGAAGCAUGUGUGAACCAAUAUCUUUCGAGUUUCCCUUAAGUGCUACAACUUAAUUGGUCGAUGUGGCUACAUCCUCUGCUAUUUUUAAUACUGGCUUCUGAGUAUGUAUUACUUUGCAAUUAUUUCUGGUUUUACUACAGUAAUCAUUGUGCUUCGUAUUGGAGCAUUGUGAUUACAAAUGCGUUGGGAAGGGGGCACUCAUUAUGAACAUGUGACUUAAUCUUUUUUACUUCUCAUUUAAAAUCUCCCUCUACCGAGCCAAAGGAGGCUGAGUUUAAAAUGUUCCAUGACUGGCCUUGUGUAGCCAAAGUAUUUAACAGUCCUGUAUCUAAACUGUGACCACAAUGACUCUCUAACUAACUUUAUUUCAAUAAAAACAUUCCUUUUCAGACUGAAA